AAAGUCGGCCUGGCAAUCGCUGGAUACUUUGGUAUCGGGAGGAAAGUCCGGGCUCCACUGGGCAGGAUGCCAGCUAACGGCUGGGCGCUAUAAGCCGCAAGGCGAAGGCGACGGAAAGUGCAACAGAAAGCAAACCGCCGAUGGCCCCGCAAGGGGAUCAGGUAAGGGUGAAACGGCGAGGUAAGAGCUCACCGCGUCCACGGUAACGGCGGACGGCACGGUAAACCCCAUCCGGAGCAAGACCAAAUAGGGAAGCUGAGGCGUGGCCCGCGCUGCUUCCGGGUAGGUUGCUUGAGCCUGUCGGUGACGGCAGGCCUAGAGGAAUGAUUGCCGAACCUCGCAAGAGGGGAACAGAACCCGGCUUAUCGGCCGGCUUUCCAA
rnacentral:RNase_P_RNA from 1 species